GUUAGAAAGCCAUCCAUCUUAAAGUCAGUGUCGCCCCCUGGUGGCGGAUAGAGGUUUGGUUUAUCAGCCGGUGUUGAAAUAAAAUGGUGAGCGCUGAAGUGAGCAUGUUGAGAACACAUUGUAGUAAAGCAGGAAGACUUUGAAGUCGUUUGCCAGAGCAAUUCAAUUCGGCUGUCGAUUCCACAGAGUGAACCGUGUUGCCGGUAGAAGAAUGAAGACGAGAAGAAUGAAGUUGAAUAUCAGUAGCUUCAAGCUACAGCUUCAAGCGUGACUGUCGUCAGCGAGUGGUGACUUCACGUGGUGACAGAUCACAGUGUCGCCCAGAUGACACCUCAGGGAAGUGACAGGACGUGUGGCCUCUGUUCAACCACAACACGCAGCCCCGCCCAAAUCCCAGAUCCCCAAACAACAUCUCAACGUCUUUCUUGUCCUCUCCUGGUCUCCUCCUCUCACAAGGAACAAAGAGAAAUCUCAUUUUCCCCCGUAAAUAAUUCACAAGAAGACUAAGAUUUUAUUAAUGAUUUGCGUUUUUAUUCCACAUGCAGGAUUGACUGCUGGUGUGUGUGUGGUGUGUGUGUGUGUGGUGUGUGGUGUGUAUGGAGAGCAGAGUUCAGGGUCGGAGGACAGCUGUCUGCCGGCAGCUUCUGACUGGACCCGGGCUGGGAGGUCUCCUGUCCUCCUUACAUGCUCAGGAAGACGCUCAAUGAAGAGGACGUCCUCGUCAUCAGUCCAGGGUUCGAGUGGACUGUCCUGUUGCCAAGGCGACUCGUGGACGGUAAUCGGGACUGCUGAGGCAGGCGGAUCCGGAGAAUCGACCACCAUGAGUCUGGCUGCUUUAGGCUGUCUGUAGUUCUAGAGCAUAGAUGCCGACUGGAGGUCAAAGGUUAUCACGGCAGGGCAACAUGAGCGUUGGUUCUGGAACCACACCCUGACGACCCGGGGGCUGAGGCCCGUGUGCUGGGCGAGCCGAAGCUUCAGCGCAGCGUCAGGACGAGGCGUCCGCGAGUAACAGGAGCGCAGCGCCCCCAGCUGGCCGUCACUGAGAACGCUCCGCACUCGCACCCUACGCCCUAAUCACAAUAAGAAUAAGAAUAAUAAGAAUCAUCAUCAUAAUAAUAAGAACACAAAUUAUAAUGAUUAUUAAAAAAUGAUAAUGCUUUCAUUUAAAAUAUUAUUUGAUC